rnacentral:lncRNA from 1 species
UGCAUGCUUUUGAUAUUUGAUUGUAAUCAUCAAGGGGUUCCUAGGGCUUUUGUGUUCCAGUAGACUAGUUUAAAUAUUAAACUUUAUUUUUAAUCAUUGAAUGCAUAUUAAAAUUUUUAAAAUUUAUAUUUUACUGUAUCACUGAAACCCAACAGUGGUAUCAGAGCCACCUUUGAAAGGUUCAAUCAAAUAUCAUAUUAUUUUUGUGAUAUGGAUUAGAUCCAGUUGAAACUAUGUCAAAAUCAAAUUUUCUGAUUGAUAUU